UGGGGAAUAUUGCACAAUGGGGGAAACCCUGAUGCAGCGACGCCGCGUGAGCGAAGAAGUAUUUCGGUAUGUAAAGCUCUAUCAGCAGGGAAGAAAAAAAUCGACGGUACCUGAGUAAGAAGCACCGGCUAAAUACGUGCC
rnacentral:rRNA from 1 species